AUGGAUGAGAGCCAAAAAUCUCCUGCCGUCUUCCCUCUGGUUCCUUGCUGUGGCUCCACCAAUGAAGAAAAACAGGGAAGCAUAAUCUUUGGCUGUCUGGCUACUGGAUAUUUUCCAGGCAACGCAGAAAUCACAUGGGAACCGCACGUUGCAAGUGGAAUAAAGCUAUUCCCACAAGUCUCCCGGGCUACACUCCAGCAGCAAUACAGCAUGAGCAGUCAGUUCACAGUGCCUUCUGCGGACUUUGAAAAGAACACUUAUACGUGCAUCGUAAAGCACCCUGCUAUUACAGAUCGACAGGGUCGACAAAAGCGCAUCGAAAAGAGAGACUGUGUUGAAAGAAAUCCAGAGCCCAUUCAAGUUCGCCUAUUAACCCCUGGCUGUGAUGCGGAGAACACGGAGAUCAAUCUGGAACUCGUAUGCAUCCUUUUGGGUUCUGGCCAUGGUGAAGUCGAAGUGGAGAGCCUGAUCAAUGGUGUCGUGGUGCGACCAAAAGUCAAGGUGAUCCUCAGUGGGAAACAAGGCAGUGGUUACUCCAGCUACAUCAAGCAAAACAUCACCAAAAAGAGCUGGAACGAAGGAGACCGCUACACGUUCCGAGUGACUCGCCUUCCAGGCAUCCGGAACAUCGAACUGUACAACACCAGCAAAUGCGAAGCUUGUCACAAGUCAAUGCAAGCACCCACCGUCUCCAUCACCAAACCAUCCUACAGAGAUCUGGUCGAAGGGACAGCCGCUGUCACCUGCCUUGUGGAGGGCUCCUUCCUGGGAAAUAUCCAGAUCACCUGGACUGUGAACAGCAGGCCUAGUCCCAAGCCGCAGGCUGAAAUCGUGAAGACGCAAUCUGGUGGGCACACGAACGCACAAAGUAGCCACUCAGUAUCACUCGAGCAAUGGAAAAAGGGCACCACCUUUCAGUGCAAAGUAGCCACCAUGUGCUUAGAGGAAAUCACCAAAGAAGUCACCAUCAAACAGGAAGCACAUAUAACAACCGCCACACCUAUCGUCACCAUCUCCCAUACCUGCCGUGAAGAAUCUUCCAACAGCACCAUUGGCCAGAUUCUUGUGUGUGAUGUGAGUGGUUUUUCCCCAAUGGAAAUCAGCAUCUCUUGGAAGAAGAACAGCACACUUCUGAACUCAUCUCUGUAUGACAAUGGGCCAGUGGUGCCUUCUGGGAUUGGUUACGUCACUUACAGCAUCCUGAAGAUUGGCAGGAGUGAAGGAGGGAAUGGGAGAGACGUCUACACCUGUGUGGUCCACCAUUCCUCUUCUCCCAAGCCAAUCACUGCUGACAAAAUGGUAUCCUCUGGUUGUGAAGGUCCAAAUGCGCAAAUUCAUGUGGAGACCAUCCCACCAUCUUUCGACGAUAUUUACCAGACCAAGUCGGCCAAGCUGACCUGCAGAAUCUCCAACGUGCCCUUUGCUGAGGAUCUCGGCGAGCUGAAUGUCACCUGGACACGAGAGCGUGACAGCACACCAUUGGAGACCAUAACUGGUCAGCCUAAAGAACAAGAAAACAGAGAACUUGCAUUUGUGGAUGCAACCGCCACCGUUUGCCUAGAGGAAUGGGAGAGUGGGGAUAACUACCUGUGCAAAGUUAGACAUCCCCAACUUGCUAGCAUUGAAACGAAAUCUUUGAAGAAACAGAACGGUGGCAGUCGCAGCCCUCCAUCCGUCUAUGUCCUGCCCCCACCCGCGGAGCAACUGGCUUUGCGGGAGACAGCGACCGUCACUUGCCUGCUGAAAGACUUCUACCCCAACGACAUCUUUGUGAGAUGGAUGCGGAACGAUGAGCCUGUGGCGCCUUCAGAGUACUACACGCUUCUGGCCAACCCUGCGAUGCGGGAAUCCAAGAGUAGAAGCGGUAGCAAAGCCUCUACAGCUGCGUUGAGCGUCCAAGAGCAGGACUGGAGUUAUGGAGCCACUUACGCCUGCGUGGUGGCCCACCAGCUUCUCUGUUCUUUCUCGACUCCUAAAGAAACUGAUUUUCAUUUAUCAUCCAAAGCUUACCUUGAUGGGAUUGUAGACAUCGUUGACGACGAAGGACUCCUAAACCUCUCAUCCAUCCUUUCCACUUUCAUCAUCCUCUUCCUCGUGAGCAUUUUCUACGGCGCCACCGUGACUGUCAUCAAGGUAAAAUGA